rnacentral:sRNA from 1 species
GAUUCUGGGAAAUGUGGUUCGCCGUGGGCGGUGCACUGGGUCAGUCCCGCGAUAGCCUCAGGUCUGGCGGCGGCUUCCAAGCUAACGAACGGUUUGGGGCAGUGUCAUUCCCGGAGGUCGGCCGCCGUUACCCGCUCACCAGCUACGCGGCGCGUCAGGUCCGCGGAGACGCGGGCUCGGGGCGCCUGCGGAACGGUGAGGCCCUGCUGAGGACUCCGGACACUGCCCAUCUCUACGAUAAGAACCUGGAAGGGGGACUCUGUUGGCCAUUGAAAAUUGCAGAAUAAUGUCUCAGGUGACAUUUGGUGAUGUGGCUAUAGACUUCUCUCAUGAAGAGUGGGCAUGCCUAGAUUCUGCUCAGAGGGACUUAUACAAGGAUGUGAUGGUCCAGAAUUAUGAGAACCUGGUCUCUGUAGGUAAGGAUAUUACCCCUUCCACUCCAGUAGGGGACACCUUUCUUUUGCCACCCUGAAUUGCUGGAGAUUCUCCUAAGUAAAUGGCUGAAUUUCUGUACCAUGCUCCCAAGGAAAUGUGCAGCUCUGUUGUGCCCUGCCUAAAGCUUAUCUUU